GAAACAUCCACGAGGAUUUUCAAAGAACUGCAGGGUGGAGAACAGAGCAGGCGCAGUCCCAGCAGACGUAUUGGGAUUUCGAUGCCUCUGGGACAGUUUCGUGUUAUGCAAGUUCGCUGAGAACUUAAUGAAUGGACCAUAAAGCAACUGAAGAGGGCUACAGGCUGUUAAUUGCCCAAUAAUACCUGUUUUCACUUCACUGGAUCCAGUCUGGACUUCACUGCAGUUCACAGAAUCCAACAGAACCCAUCUAUUUGAAAAAAGCCAAACCUCUUCUGCCUAUUAGUGAUGACUUCCGAAUACUUGAGUUGUGUUUAAGAAAAAUGUAUGCUUUCAUAUGUAUCCAAAAUAGAUUACAAAUAUAAACAAUGAAAGACAAUAAAACAUCAGUAAGACCAAAAGCAAGGAAGAAGCAUAAGGAUAAAAAAGAAAUGUAAUUUUCCAAGCAAGGAGUCAAGUACAAGGAUAAUGUAUUAGAAGGUAUCUGUUCAAAUGGAAAUCAGCUUACCUUCUGUUUUUUCAGUGGAAAUGGGGAUUGGCCAUUCAGCCACUAUCAAAAUGCAAUGAAAUAGUUGAGUUUUAUUUGGGGAAGAUAUGUUAAAUCAUUCCUCAAAAUUGAAGGUCAGUAGCUAUUGAAGUAAUGCUGUAAA